AGAUACGUUAAAUAGGGUGAUGUGUUAAACUCGGAGCCCUGAAACUUUGAACGCAAAUGGCGGCAGUGAGUUAUCUCUCUGCCUUGUCUGUGUGAGGGUUGAAUAGUGAAGAAGUAACAUUAGAGGGUUUCAAUGACUUGACUCCCUAGUUCACUUUGAGAAUAACCAGUGGUUGUGUGAACCUUCUCGCAGAGAUGGUGGCAGCUAAGUUAUGCUCUCGCACAAGUAGCGUGAUGAUCGUCAUGUUCUGCUGUGCAAGUUCAACAUCAACCUCACAUCAGGCAAGUCUACCCGCUGAACUUAAGCAUAUCAGUAAGCGGAGGACAAGAAAACAAAAGUGAAUCCCUCAGUAACUGCGAGUGAACAGGGAAGAGCCCAGCGUGAAGGCUACUUAGUUGUGAACUUAGUAGCGGUGCCACGUUUGUUUGCGGGGAAAAGUGUUAGUGUGGUGCAGCAAUAGUGUAACUUCCUUGAGAGAGGAGGCCAUAGAAGGUUACAGCCCUGUAACACUAGCUGUCCAUCUAGCACGUAACUCGUAGGCUAGAGUCGGGUUACUUGAGAGUGUAACCUAAAGCCGCAGGUAUACUCCUGCUAAGGCUAAUUACAACCGUCAGACCGAUAGUAAACAAGUACCGUGAGGGAAAGUUGAAAAGAACUUUGAAGAGAGAGUUAAAAGUACGUGAAACGGCUACCAGGUAAGCUAAUGGGGGCGGGAAAUAGGUCAGUGAGUGUCAUGUGCACAGAUGUAAGUGUCUUGCUAGUGAUGCCUAGAAAUAGGGUCGCUGCUUGAUGCGAAAAGUUGAGUCACAGCACUACGCUAUUUGGCCGAGAUGUUGUGACGUCUCUGAGUGGUGUUGGAGCGACGGAGUUGGGUUAGGAAGUGUUGGUGGUAGCAGAUUUAUCUGUUGCCGUUGCCUUCACUCAUGGAUGGAGUACUGUUAGCGCAAGCUGAUGGAUCAAGUCUCCUUCGCUCCUCUCCCUGCUGUCGUCUCUAUUUGAACACUGACUUAGCUGAGAGAUGUGUGAGAAAGACUGCAAGUCAGUCUCGCUAUUAGCAGUUAGCCUUAAGGCCUUGGCUCUGCGGAGUCAUGAGUCGAGUGCUAACUGUUCCUUGUGAUAGGUUGUAAUCUGUUGAGUGCGCGAGCAUGAGACGGUGCCCUAUUGCUGGAGUCAGAUAGUGCGUGGUUACACUGCGUGUUAUCACAACAGUACCAUUCCCUAUUAGACCCGUCUUGAAACACGGACCAAGGAGUUCAACUCCUGUGCGAGUCUUAUAGUGUGAAGCUAUGAAGGCGAAGCGAAAGCAAUGGUGGUGACUACUGACGGGAGGCGAUAGUCACGGGCUUGUCCUGGGACGGAAGCUAAGUCAGAGGAAGGAUAGCGCUGGCUGUCUGGACUGAAGUAACCACAGGGUCUAUUGAGUUAGACACCUCUAGCACAAGAGCUGAUACCCGAAAGAUGGUGAUCUAUGCCUGAGCAGGACGAAGUCUAGGGAAACCCAGAUGGAAGUCUGUAGCGAUUCUGACGUGCAAAUCGAUCGUCAGACUUGGGUAUAGGGGCGAAAGACUAAUCGAACC
rnacentral:rRNA from 1 species